GGGGUUGGCCUAAUGGUCAAGGCGUGGGACUUGUGCUUUUAAGGUCUCAGGUUCGAAACCUCUAUCAACUCCU